AAAAAAAAAAUAUAAGAUAAAAAAAACUAAAGAUAUGCAUAAUAUCAUUGGAAGGACACCUGCAUAAACAAAAUAAAAGGUUUCCUCCUAUAUCAUGCUUCAUUCCUUUUUUGUCAACGAAUCAUUGGGGUUAAGGGACAGAUGAGAAAAAUGUUCAGAUACGAUUGCCCAAUUAAGUAUAGAAAGGUCCAGGUCCAGGCAUUUCCAAUGAUCCAUUCAGAGACAAAUAGCAAACCAAAUGUGAUAUCAGAAUCGUGCGUAUUUUAUAUGUCAAAAAGCAGUGCAUACCAAACUAAGUCUAUCGGAAAGCCUCAAAAUUGAUAUAAGAAUUUAAUAACAUUACUUACAUUAAUACACUAAGGCUUUUAGAUGCAUAGGG